GGUAAGCAUUAGUCAUUAUUUUAGAGUUUAGUUAUAAUGUGUUUAGUCUUAUAGUGAGGGAGGGAUAUGCAGGUAUCCAGGUAAGUUUUCCUACUGUUUCCCACCACGUUAUUGACCGUGAGACUUCAACAUCAUCAAGAGAUGAUGGUGCCACUACAUUGUUGACAUUGAAGUCAUGGCAAAUCCAAGUAGUGUUGAAGGUUCCCUGCUGAUGGAAGUGCCCAGAAUUAUUUGUGUCUUGUCUUUUUUUAUGUAAAACAAAUUGUUUCCUUAAACACACUUGAGCAAUGUGUUUUUUAGUUUUCUGUAAUGAGCUCACAAUCAAUUUCCAUUAAUAUGGAACCGUGCUGUAACCUGCUAAUUGAGAAAGUGUGUUUCCCAGAGUCAGACCAUUAGAUCUUUAUAUUUCCAUGUAAGUGAGGAUGGCGUCCUUAACACUUGUCUACCAUGUAUUCCUGCAGGUAUCCUGUUAAGUUCUUUCCUAGUAUACAGGUACAAGAUUAUGUGAUAUUAACACAUUAGCAACCUUCCUAUUUUCAGAUAUGUAGGUGAUUAAUGAUUUUUUUGAGACUCUUCUUGUAACCUUGUGUUUGUCAUGCAUGCAGUUAAGAAAUUACUUUUUCCCUAACAUUACUAGUAAGAGUGAGAUUUUACUGUGUUCUUGUUUAGACAUAAUGUGUAUUUAUCAAUUGUAGUGAUAUAUGGAUAUGCGAGUAUCCAGGUAAUUUAUCAUAUUGUCCAUCACUGUAAUACUGAGAUUUUUGUAGGUAUCACUUCAAGAGAGGAAAGUUUCUCUUACAAGUGUUUUCCCUUGGCAUUAUGCAAGCAUCCAGUUACCUUUGAUAGGCCCUGAAAUGAUGAAAGAGACCAAGGGAAUUUGCAGGUGUACAGGUAGAAUGAGACAUUUAGGAAACACAUUUUCAACAGUAUAUUUUUUAGGUUUAUUUGAAGAGGUCACAGUGAGCCUAACAGUAAUAGUUAACAGGGGUCAUUGCUCGUAUGGAUGUGCAUGAUAAUGUGGGCCUAAAACACAGCCCAGCCCAUCUGAUCUUUCCUUAUAUAGGUAAGUGGUGGUGUCCCUAACACUUCUGUUACUAUGAUUUUGUUGUAGCUGUUCAAGUAAGAAAUGAUAGAGCUCUUACCAAUUUAAAAAAAACAUUAUUUUUCUCACUUUUUAUAUUUUAGAAUAACUUUAUGAUCAACCUCUGAGUUUUGAGUGAUAGUGCCUAUCCUGGUUAUUGGUGUUUCUUACCACAGCAGUAACCAGGGGAUUUUUACAGGUGUCCUGUCAAGAAAUGACCGUCUUACCUGACAGUGGUAUUGAUCUUGCAUUAUUACAAGUAUCCAGGUUUCUGUAGUGAGACCCUGAUAAACCUAACAAUGGUUGGUAUGGCAGACAUUUCUGGUAUGCAGGCAAGUGAUGAUGUGUUCUUUAACCACAUCAUAGACCAUCAGAUCUUCAUAUAUCUUUUUUUUUUUUUUGACAGAGUCUCACUUUGUCACCCAGGCUGGAGUGCAGUGGGGUGAUCUCGGCUCACUGCAGCCUCCACCUCCCAGGUUCAAGCGAUUCUCGUGCCUCUGCAUCCUGAAUAGCUGGGAUUACAGGUGUGCACCACCACGUCCUGCUGAUUUUUGUAUUUUGAGAGAUGGGGUUUUGGCACGUUGGCCAAGCUGGUCUCGAACUCCUGGCUUCAAGCAGUCCACCCACCUUGGCCUCCCAAAGUGCUGGAAUUACAGGUGUGCACCACCACGCCCGGCCAGAUCUUCAUAUAUCUAAGAUCCUGUCAAGAAGUCAUGGUAAACCUCAUCAUGAUCAAGAAUGAGACUUUGCUUGCAUCCAGGCUUCCCAAAAGUUGUUUGAUAGUAUGCAGGCAUGAGAUGGUGUGACUCUAACUCAUUAGAUGCCUUCGUCUUUUCAGUCAUCAUGUGAUGGAAAGAAAGCUAUCAACUUCAUUCCUCGGACUUCCUGCAACACAGAAAAUGUUUGCUGAGCCUGUUUUAAAGGGAAGCUUCAGGAGGACUUUCAGUGUCAUAUGAAAAAUAGUUCACAAGGAUUUUUGCUCAAGGAACCUGUGGAGAGGAGCGUCUGCUCUCCUCUUGGUCACUGGAGCCCAAGAUCGCAAUGUUCACACUUCCAUUUAUUGUGAGGAAUAGAACACCAGCACUUAAGUGAUUGUCCAAACCAACAUCACCAAAGCAACAGCUUUGCAUAACACCCUUGCCAAUACUCAGAAUCAAGGGCCUUAAAAAAUGAAGGAAAGUAACUGGAAUGAAUGCAAAUACUUGCACCUAGAGAAGCCUUUCCGGAAUUAUUAGCAAACACUCCACUCAUUCCCUGACUUGGCAAUUCUCCCAAAAAGAGAAGAGGGGUUUAGGUACCUGCAUUCCUCAAGACCCUGUAUGGCCUGGUGAACUUGGAGGUGAUCUAGGACCAAGGUAAAUCAUGUGGCUGGGCAGCCUGAGAACAAAGAUCAAAUCAGAAGUCAGAGAGGCAGCAAGCAAAUCUGGGCUGUUUUACGGUAUCCCAGCAUCCUGGACUGACAACAUGAGCUGGUAUUUAUCUCUCCAAUUCAGAUAUCAGUAGCCAGACAUUGCCAUUGAUUCAUCAUCACAUUCUUCUUCCCGUAGGGUUGGACUCUGAGAACAUCUAACUCAAAAGAGCACUGCCGUAAAAUACUGUAGGAAAUGUACAUGCAUUGAGUGCAUUUCAAAAGAACAAUCCUUCAGUUUCGACUAUUUUUCUAUUUGUUUGUAAUUGCUUAUCUAUGUACAUGCUUAUCAUAUUGUGUCAUAAAUAUGGAAAGCCUUCA